rnacentral:lncRNA from 1 species
CUACAUCAUCAAAUGUCUAACCCUACUUUAUAUAUACGGAGAGAUUAGAAAAUGACACAAAAAUAAUAUACGGUGAAAUAUCAAUGUCUCUUUCAAAAGAUUCAAGCUUAAAACAUUUAUAAAAUAGAUAAAUAAAUAAACUAUUUAUACAACGAAUCUCUAAAUUUAAUGUCUACAAGUUCAACGUUGAAAGAUUUGGCAUGGAGUUGAUUAUCUCCGUUAUAUAAGAUCAUGAUGAAGCCCCAAAAAAGCUUAGAUCUAUAUUAUUAUAUAUAAUAUAUAUCUAGAGAUGGAUUAAGUAGGGGUGGUAAAGCGAAAUAUGACACCCUCCUGAUUUUGUAAAGCCAACCGCACCCACCCACUGAUGUUAAAAUAAGAGCAGAUCAAUUUUACCAGCAAAAUAAAUUUGAACUACAAAGAUAAAUGGAAACUUAAGGAUAAUUAGAUUCGAGAGAAAACUUAAGUUUGAUAAUAACUUAACUUAAAAUAGCUUAUAUUCAAGACAAAUUUUAUUCAUCGAUAUAACAUCAAUGGCCAAUCGCCAUGAAACUAGCUAACAUGACCAAUCAACUGACCAAAUGUUACGGAAGUCUUAUUAGAAGCAAUGUGUGAAUUGAUCCCCUUCAACAUUUCCCUUUCAUAGGGAAAAAUAUAUCUAUAUCUAUAUAUAUAGAUAUAUAGAUAUAGAUAUAUUUUUCCCUAUGAAAGGGAAAUGUUGAAGGGGAUCAAUUCACACAUUGAUUGAAAGAAGCUAUUUGCAAUUGCCGCCGAGUCUCACGGCAAAUGCCUGUAAAGCCAAAAGAAUUUCUUUGAGCCUCUUCUUGGUUUCUUCAUCUAUCAGAUUGCCCUUAUCAUCAAACAUUGGUGGUAGGUCUAAUACAUUGAGGAAAAAUUAAGGUUUGUUAAUGAAAUGAAUAUCGAAUCUGACUCCCAUAUGUCGAAG